UCCUGCUUGUCACAGGCAGUUUCCCUAGAGUGCCCACCAUAAUGUGCUGGCAACUAAGGAUGAGGGUUGCGCUCGUUGCGGGACUUAACCCAACAUCUCACGACACGAGCUGACGACAGCCAUGCAACACCUGUCUCUACGCCCCUUGCGGGGAGGAAUCCAUCUCUGGAAACCGUCGUAGGAUGUCAAGGGUAGGUAAGGUUUUUCGCGUAGCAUCGAAUUAAACCACAUGCUCCACCGCUUGUGCGGGUCCCCGUCAAUUCCUUUGAGUUUUAAUCUUGCGACCGUACUCCCCAGGCGGGAUACUUAACGCGUUAGCUACGACACUGAGGGGUAACCCCCCAACGUCUAGUAUCCAUCGUUUACAGCGUGGACUAC
rnacentral:misc_RNA from 1 species